GUCCUCACUUGGGCAGCACAUGUACUAAGAUUAGAACAAUACAGAGAAGAUUAGCAUGGCUUCUGAGCAAACAGGAUACACAAAUUCAUCAACUGAUCAAACAUAAA
ensembl:snRNA U6 U6 spliceosomal RNA